CAAACAUGGCCAAUCUCUGCUUCAUGUACACGACUGCCAACUUCUUUAACUUCACCCAAAGAAUGAUUUGGAGCCUGUCAUCAGAGGAGAACAGAGUGGUAGAGCCAAUAGUGGGGACACUGAUGGAAUUAAUAAUUUGGAGACUAUGUAGCCAAUGACAUAUUUCACCCAGACAUGGAGAUCACCAUUGAAACCAGAGAAAUGCAACACUAUGGACAGAAAGAAACAGUCAAGAAUGUUAAGAAAUGCAUCUUCUUUCUGACCUGUGAGAACUGCAAUGACAUGUAUUAAAGUUUAAUCAGAAAUUUCUCUAACCUGCUAUCUUCCAAACUGCAAACCAUGACACGUAUCAUUCACCUUUUAAACAGUAAGAAAUCCACAUUUUGUAAAAAAAAAUGCACCUGUAUGUAACGUAUUUUAAACCAAAAUCUAUUAAAAUUGCCUUCA
rnacentral:lncRNA from 1 species